rnacentral:tRNA from 1 species
GGGGCGGUAGCUCAGCUGGGAGAGCACCACACUGGCAGUGUGGGGGUCCGGGGUUCGAUCCCCCGUCGCUCCACCC